AGGCAGAUGAUGAUGUAUAUUUUUUAAUCCUGAUCAUUCAUGAGGUUACAAGAUUCGAGCUUUUUAAAACUGAUGUUCG
rnacentral:snoRNA from 1 species